UCUUUUGAUGUUGAACUAAUUCUUGAUCACAUUCUUAAAUUCUUAAAGCAUCUUAUACAGCCAUGUGGCCCCUCCUAUGAUGGAAAUUGAGAGAAAAGUGUGACUAAAUCCACCAAAUUGUUACGCACACCUACCGUUGUUUGUCUAUCUUGCGAUCAGAUUUUUAAAGAAAGUAAAUAGAGAAUUCUUGAUUCAAAUAAAAAAAUCAAGAAGGCCGAGGAGAAUUCAAGAAAGUAAAGAAAAGAAGAUAAAGGAGGUGAGAUUUUUAAAGAUAUUGUUCCAUCUAUUUGAAUAGUGAGAAAUUAUUAGUCUGUGCUCUUGGGGUUAUUAUUGCAUCAUUGCUCUAGUAUUGCUGCUCUUCCAUUGUCAAUGUUAUAGAUUUUUCGUCAACAGUUUUUCGAGAUUUAAGGUUAUUAGAAAUUUACAUCGAAAUAAACAAUUUUGACAUUUCUUAAUGUCAAAUAAAAUUUCUUUAUAUUUUUACUGAUCUUAAGACGCCAUUUAAGAUGAUUUCUGUAAAAAUCUAAUCACUAACUAUUAGAAUCAGUUUUUACAUUCAUUUAUGAAAUUUAAGAUUGUAAAUAAUUAAAAUCAAUAGCUGUAUUUCGUAAUUUAAUAUAUAUAUAUACACACACACACACAUAAAUAUAAACUAGUUCCAUAUAAAUGCAUUCGAACAUUUAGGUUAUUUCUCCGAAUAAUUUUCUUAAUGCAUAAGGAAGUCCGAAGCACCAUCAGAAAUCAUUUAUAUAUUUUGAAUAAUUAAUUAAAUGACAUUUAUAUAAAUGUCAUUUAAUUAAUUAUUCUUAGACAUUAAAUGCGCUUUCUAUAAAUGUCAUUUAAUUAAUUAUUCUUAGACAUUAAAUGCGCUUUCCUUAAUUCUUUGUUUUCUAUCAAUAUAAUUGGUACCUGGAAUUCUUAGAACGUGAGAACAUUGAUCACUUGAUACGUUUUGAUUUAAUUUGAUAUAUAAUUUCUUUAUUUUGUCAAUUCCUUGAUAUUAAUUCUUUUAUUAUGUUCUACGUUUUUCUUUUGUUCUUGAAAUAAUUCUUGAUCACAUUCUAAUAGCAUUCUCUAAACAUGGUCUCUAUGCUUUUGAAGAUAAUGAGGCAGAAGUCGUAUGAAAGAAG
rnacentral:lncRNA from 1 species